rnacentral:lncRNA from 1 species
GAAGCAGUUCGUUGUGGCGCCAGAUUUUGACAAGAAUGAUGUCGAGCACUGGCUGCUGCCCAAGGAAGAUGUCAUUGAUGCCUAUCUGGUUGAAAGUCCCGAGAGCCGUGAAAUAACUGAUUUAUGCAGUUUUUACACGAUCUCCUGCUCAAUACAUGGCAGCCAGAACCACUCAAUUCUGAAGGGUGCCUACUCUUAUUACAACGUAUCCACCAAGACUCCCUUGCUCCAAUUGAUGAAUGAUGCCCUCAUUGUUGCCAAGAAGAAGGACUUCGAUGUUUUCGUCGCGUUGGAUGUUAUGCAAAACAAGACAUUCUUGAAUGAGCUCAAGUUUGUCCCCGGAGAUGAGAAGCUUCAUUACUAUCUCUACAACUACCGGCUAAAGCACUCACUGGGAUCAUCGGAGGUUGGCCUCGUGUCCUUAUAGAUUCAUCGGUCAUGGUGUCACGGGCGAGCAUUCUUGUAUGUUCAGCGGCGAGCAUUCUUGUAUGAGAGUUUUUUCUGUUCUUGGAAGACCUACCAUUUGUUAGGAGAAACAAAGGUUUUCGAAGGCGUUUUUAAGCCUCGAGGUGUGUCAAUGUUCUCACUGAAUCCCCAAUCGUGGGGUGUUUGGCUAAGUUUAUUUUAAAGAACAUGUAUAAGCUUCAAUAACUUAUAAAAUAUUUUAAAAAUUUAUAAAAUGUAAUUUUUCAGGAGUUUAUAAAUUGUUAAAGUAUGGAUAAUAUUUAAUUUUAGUAAAUACUUUUUCAACUUAUUUUUUGAAAUAACUCCACUAACAUUCACUUUUACAAUUUUCACAUAUUUACACACAUUGUCAUUAAUGAAUUUACAGUUUUUUAAAAAUAACCUCAUUAUUUUACUAAACUUACAUUGUAAAAUGAUACGAUCAUAUAGAAUUAUAAAAAGUAAAUUGUGGUAGAGAAAUUUAUAAAUUGUUUGAACUUAUGUUUACAAUUUAUAAGUUAUUUAAAAAUUUAUUUUAUCAAAUACUCCCUCCGUCCACGAAAGAACUUCCUACUUUUUCCUAUUUUGGGACAAUACCCCACCAAAGACAAUUCCCACCACUCAAAUAACAUUAAUUAAAACAACACAAUAAAUUAUUAAUACUUUUUCACAAUUCCCAAUACACUUUAUAACCUUUUCUCCACUCUCAAUACACUAUACAACAUUUUAUUAAAACACGUGUCACUCUCUCCUAGGAAGUUCUUUCAUGGACGGAGGGAGUACUUUGAAUUAAUUUACAAACUAAUUUUAAAAAAAAAUUAUAAUUUCAAUCAAACACUCUCUAGGUUCAUUGUUCGAUGUUUUUUUUCCACCUAAAUGGGGAAAAUGCUAAAAACUAAUUAGGUACGUAAAAUAUGAUAAUCAAUUCAAUUUAGAUUUUAAGGGUUGUAAAAAAAUUGAAAUAGAUUUAGAAAAUAGUUUUUUUUUUAGGAAAUAGAAAAUAGAUUUAAAUGGGUAUAGAAAAGAUUUGAAAAAGUCGAGAAAUACAUAAAAAUAAAAUUUAAUCCUAAUUCCAAAAAAAAAUUAAUCCAUUUUUCAGUUAAUCGAAUAAUCAAUUAGUUUGGUAUUCAGUUACCAUCUGCCAUAAUUUUCGAUUUUAGUUAAUCAAAAUUAAACCGAUUCCUCUUUCUCAAAAAAAAAAAAAAGAAAAGAAAUUAAACCGGUUCCCAUAAUGAAACCGGAAGUAGAUUAUAUUUAAAAAUAAAUUAAAACAAAAUGAAAAAUCUGGAAAAUAAACAAUAUUUAUUCAUUACUUUUCAAAUUUUCUAUUGACAGGAAUACAAAAUAUAAAUAAAAAAAAAUUAAAAAUAAAAAGAACAGAAAAAUAGAAAAGUAAAGAAAAACUGCAUCUAUAUCGUCGGUCUGUCAUAGUCAAAACUCUCACCUCUUUCAAAGUCAAAACUCUCUGACGUAUGAGUAUCACGCUCACCCUCCCUCGAUUCCAAAAUCCCCAAACUGAAGAGGGAAACCCUUCUACCGCCGCUGCCUUGCCGUGUCUCUUCCCCAGCCCGCCGCUUCGCUGCCGCCGCUGCAGUCCCUACUCCGCCGAUUUUGCUCGCCGUCUUGUAAAAGUAGUUUUGUGCUUUUUUUUAUCUAAACUAAAAUUAUAAUCGACUUUCCUUGUUAAAAUUGCAUUUUUUGUGCUUACUGUACUUAUUUAAUGCUUAUAGAAAAUUAACGAUCUUUAGUUUUAGAUGAGUGAAUUUGAGCAUUGCAGGAGUAAUAGAACUAUAUCUAUCUGUAAAGAUUAACUCCUUACUCUGUUAGGCUUAAUGAUUGAGAUUUUAGGCAGAAUUACAAAGUCAAUUUAGGGAAAUUGGAGUAAUUUAAAAGCUGCGGAAGAAAGUUUAGAGAUAUGAAAUUGUAAACUUGUAUUGUGAGUUUUCAAAAUUUCCUAGUAAUGAUCUAUUACGCUUAAAGGGAUUAUUUCCACACAAAAUACACAAACCUAGCUAAGCAGAACAUCUAUAGGUAAAGUUGUCUGUAAUUUUGUUUUUUGAUGUUGAAUGUUAGCGUUAAAGCAUUAAAUCCAGUGAAUUGAUGGAUUAGUCUCAUGUGUGUAAGCGGAUGUUAUGGUGUGUGCAUUACAAGCUGCUCGGGGAGCAUUCGUGGCAUAUUUCGUAGUCGUUGGAGAACCUUAUUGCUAAACUGCAUAGAUGUUAAUGAGGAUUUGAUUGGUAUCUUAUGGCUUAUUUGGAAAUAUGAUUCAUGUGUAUUGUCUUAUAAAUGUCAAGAGUAGGUUUUUUGAGAAUGGCUGACAACGAUGCUCCAGCUGAAAUCAUUCCCUCAAACAAGAAUAAUGCACCUUCGGGAAUGAAAUUGAAACUUCAAUUGAUUCAUUGGCAAGAAAGGUUCAGGAGUCCUUCUCGCUUAAAAAGAGGCAUAAGUUUUGGGAGACCCAACCCGUUAGCCAGUUCAAGGAUCUUGGAGGUAUGAGCUUGCUUGAAGGCCCGAUUGAGCAACCAACUCCACUCUCUGAAGUCAAGCAGGAGCCGUAUAAUCUCCCAGCUCCGUAUGAAUGGAUUACAUGCGAUCUGGACUCAGAGGAGGUGUGUAAUGAGGUGUAUACUUUAUUGACCAAUAACUAUAUUGAGGCUGAUGGGAGUAUGUUUAGACUCAAUUACUCAAAAGAGUUUCUUAGAUGGGCACUUCUUUCUCCUGGUUAUUUCCGGAGCUGGCACAUCGGAUUAAGGGUGAAGACUUCAAAGAAACUGGUUGCGUUCAUUACUGGGAUUCCUGCAAAAAUUCGUGUCCGUGAUGCUGUGAUGCCGCUUGCAGAGGUAAAUUUUCUGUGUGUUCACAAGAAGCUCCGAUCAAAGAGUCUUGCUCCUGUCAUGAUUAAGGAGCUUAGUCGGAGGGUUCGUUUGGAGAAUGUAUGGCAGGCAGCUUAUACUGCUGCCGCUGUUCUUCCCACACCAAUAACAACUUCUAGGUUCUGGCAAGGUUGUUGAAUCCGAGGAAGCUUAUCGAUGUUGGGUUUUCUAGGCUCGAUCCAUGGAUGACAAUGAGCCAAACUAUCAACUUUUACAAGCUACCAAAGCAAACCACGACUCCUGCCUUCAGAAAGAUGGAACCACACGAUGUGCCUGCAGUUACUCGUUUGCUUAGGAAUUACUUGAAGCAGUUUGUUGUGGCGCCAGAUUUUGAUGAGAAUGAUGUCGAGCACUGGCUGCUGCCCAAGGAAGAUGUCAUUGAUGCCUAUCUGGUUGAAAGUCCCGAGAGCCGUGAAAUAACUGAUUUAUGCAGUUUUACACACCUCCUGCUCAAUACAUGGCAGCCAGAACCACUCAAUUCUGAAGGGUGCACACUCUUAUUACAACGUAUCCACCAAGACUCCCUUGCUCCAAUUGAUGAAUGAUGCCCUCAUUGUUGCCAAGA